AUGGAGAUGGAAGAUCGGAGGACUGGAGAGGAAGAGGAGGAGGAGGAUGAGGUUGAACUGGCCGAAGAGGUGGACGAGGAUAUCAACAUUGGAGAUGAUGAUGGUGGAGAAAGCAACGCAAUGCCCUCAACAGACGUGAUCAUUCAUAAAACAGAGGAAGAGGAUAAUAUGGAAGAUGUAGAGGACCAAGUUGGCCAAGAGACAGUGGUUCUGCAAAAUGAGUUAAAUGCUGGAGAGAUGGAGGAAGAAGUGGACAUAACCGCCAAACUAACAACGCCUGAGCUACAGGUAACAGUUGAACUGCCAAGGACAACACAAACACAAGUUCCAGAACUUCGAAACGAAGCUGAAGAGCUUGGAGGAACAUUGAAAGAACUGGACAAGGAUCGAGCAGAUCACAAGUUGGAAAUGCUGUAUGAAGACGAAAAGGAAAGCGAUGAACCACAAAUGCAAACCUUGAGCGAAAGGCAGACGGAGACACAGGAACAUCAGGAGCUGCUCCUGUCUGAGGUAAGAGAGUUUACCUGUAGCCUCCUUGAAAAAAUAAAAAACAAGUCCAGAGAGGAUCAAAUUCAGCAAGUAAAGAGUGACAUACUUUCGCAAGAAGAGGAGCAUGAAGAGGUGAAGGUGGAAAGUUGGGAUGAUGAGUGUGUAGACGAAGAGCCACGGACGGUUUCUACCAGUGAAGGAGAAUCUAUAGAAGACUUUCAGAGUCUUGGGGAAGAGGGAGAAACAGCAACAUUUGAUAAUGUUGGCAAAGAACAGUCUACAGCCGAGGUGCCUUUAUUGGAGGACUGUAUAGCAGUUGGACAGCCAAUGCACAAUGAUGCCUUCGAGACAACUAGUGAUGAAAAGACCACUUACAAUGCAGCAGAAGAAAGGUCGAUUGACUGGAUUGCAACAGAGCAACCAUCAACUGAUAUGAUUGGUGGAACCAUAGAGGAGAUGGUCCAGAAUUCAGAUCAGUUGGUGGAAAGCAUCGUGCAAGAAUAUGAAAGACUAGAGCGGAUUGAACAGGUGGUGAGUGACACCAAUCUGGAGAAUUGUGAAAAAAUAGUAGCAGAUACCGAAUCACCUAUUGUCAAUGGACCUGAGGAGACAAGAGGAGCUGAUAAAGAGGCAGAAGGCAUCAAAAAGAUUCAAGAUGAUGCUCAAAGAGUUGUAGAGAUUACAGAAGAGCUGGUCAAGAAGGAGGAGCUUCUUAUAGAUGAGGGAAGCUGUACAAAGGCGGAACAGCCACUUGAUGAUCCUGAAGUUGUAGAAGAGGGUGUGUGCAAGAAGCAGGAACAGCUGGGCAAUAGCAAACGGGAGGUCGCAGAGGGAGGUGAAGCUGCAAAGGAACAGCCAAAACAAGAAGUGCCAGCACCUAUAGAGGAGGGGGCGGGGAACUGGCUAGAAGAGCUCAAGGCUGUCAUUGAAGAUGAGCCCAGGAGGAAAGCCCAGGGGGGGCGUAAAGUCACCAUACCUGCCUGGUUGAAGGGCAGGGUGAGCUCGGAUGCUCAUUUCCAAGAGCCGUCGAAGCCCCUCGGCAGUCGGGUCAGAAGCGUGAGCGGCAGCAGUGAAGGGGAGGUGAAUAUCAAGGCCAAAGUUCAAGAGGUCAUUAUGGUGAAUGGAUGCCCUGCAGCUGCUGUAGUUCAACAG
ensembl:lncRNA